GGUAUCCAUAACAAAAAAAGUAAACAGAAGCUGACUGCAUCUCUGCCAACGGAUUGGCGUUAGAGUUAGUAUUAGCAUUAGCAUUAGCAUUGUUGUGAAGAUGUUUCUGAGGAACCCUCGUGUUAAAUGUUAUUAUUCUCCUUAGCGCUGUUUCUCAGAGGUGACCGACGACGCUGAACUUCAGCCCUGUACUACAGUGUGACUGCUGCGAAUCAGCCACAGCUACCGAACUUAGCAAGCUAGCUUGCACCAUCCCAGCUGUUCUGUCAUCUGAUGCUAAUUAGUGAGCUUGAGUGAAAUGGAGAGAGUCUAUACUCAAGGCAUUUGGAUGGCGGAGCUUCUUCAGUCACACGCGAGAAAUUAUGAAUCUUUCUGGCUACUCGCUACUCAUAUGGGAGACCCAAAAGCGGCGUUUCUGCUCGUUUUCCCACCCGUUUUCUACCUGCACAGACGAACCGGCAUCGCCAUCCUCUGGGUGGCUGCUAUAUCAGAGUGGCUUAAUCUUGUUUUUAAAUGGGUCCUGUUUGGGGAAAGGCCUUACUGGUGGAUAGGUCAGUCGGGUUUAUUUGUGAAAAACAGCCCUUCGGUCCAGCAGUUCCAGUCCACCUGUGAGACAGGACCAGGUAGUCCCUCAGGCCAUGCCAUGGUCACUGCUGCAGUCUGGUGGGUGGUGGUGUCCGCCCUGGCCUCCGUUCUUCAUUCUCGCUCUGGCAGUAAGAUACUGGCUGCGAUACCUUACGUCUUCUACACGUUGCUGUUGGGAGCAGUUGGUGUGUCUCGAGUCUUUAUUUUGGCUCAUUUUCCACACCAGGUCAUCGCUGGCAUUCUGACAGGCGUGAUGCUGGGAGUGUUUUUAAACCGCACAGUACCAGAUUGUCGCCCCCUGCUGUUCUUCCUGUGCUCCAGCAUGGCACUGCUGUUCGGAGCACUGCUCAUGCAUGCUGGGCUGAAGACGGUUGGCAUCGACCUCGCCUGGUCUGUUGCAUUGGCCAAGAGAUGGUGCUCUAAGUCUGAGUGGGUUCGCAUGGAUACAAACCCUUUCUCUUCUCUGAGCCGUGAUGCUGGCGUGCUGCUCGGGCUGGGACUUGCCCAGUUCUGGAAGCCAGGAGGAUGGGCACUUCCCUGGAUACCGAAGACCCUCUGCAUGGCGCUGUCCUCCAUGGCCCUGUACCACGUGAGCCGGUUCCCUCUGCCUACAGUUCCAGCCCUCCUCUUUUACUCACUCUUUUUUCUCAAAUAUGUCCUAGUGCCCCAGAUAGUGAUGGUGCUGGUACCUGGCCUGGUGCAUCUCCUGACAGCCAAACCCAAGAGGGACUGAGAGGAUUAAACAGAAUGACGUUUAACCUUUUCAUGGAGUCAGAAAUGGCCACCAUAGAUCAACUCCUGUGAGUGCAACUGAACAGUGAAGCAUUUCCAUUCGAGUAAGUCCUACGGAGUCGUAUAAAUUAGACUAGCUGUUUUACGUUAUUUAUUCUACAGGUAUAAUUCCAUAUUGAGAAGAUCGACACAUUUUUCAUAUUGUCCUCUAUAGAAGGGGACUUGUUCUGCCAAAUUCAAAAACGGAUUUUUUUUGUCAUUAAAUGGUAGUAACGUAUCCCAUACAAUCAAGGAAGUUUUAUAGACAGAACGCCCUGGACAGGGUGCCAAUCCAUCGCAGGGCACAAUCACAUACACACUCACACACACACACACACACUACGGACACUUUGGACAUGCCAAUCAGCCCUGUCUUUGGACUGGGGGAGGAUUCCCCCGCAGCACGGGGAGAACAUGCAAACUCCACACAUGGGAAUUGAACCCCCGACCCUGGAGGUGUGAGGCAAACGUGCUAAUCAUUAAGCCACCAUGCGCCCAAUGUUUAUAAUGAAGUUAAUGUUAAAUGUAUGCAGGGUAUACAUGCACUGAGAAAACGUCCCAUCUUGAGUAAUCCCAGUCCGGAGCAGUGUUCAUGGUUGCAGUUCUGUAGUCCUGUUUUUAGUAUCGCUUAUCUACUUAUUAUUACUUAUAACUAUUUUAUUGUUUUUGAGUAUGUCAGGUAUAAAUAUUGUAUGGUCGUCCAUCCUGAUGGGGAAAUGCUGGAUGACAGGUUGAGAUUGUUGCUGGCGCAAGAUUAGAUGAUUCUUUGCAAAUCAACUAGAUGCCGCCUCUAUGGCAACUUUGUUGGAGCUUCACAUGAAAGAAGCCCUUCCUAAGAACAACGCACAACUUGUAGCUCCCGAACUCCAAUGAAAAUCGAGUGCUGCAGUCAGAUGAGACCAAAGACAAAGUUUCUGAUCAUCAACAGCAGCAGCAUGUACAAGGAAAAGCCCCCAGCCCACUCUAAAACAUGGUGGAUCAUUGGUGCUUUGUGUGAUUCAUUCUGCUAGGUACCACGUGGCAAUUUUCAACAAUCCAACUAUUGUGUACAGUACAGUUCCAUUAUUGCUAUUACAAACAUAUUCUCUGUUCAUGUAACAGUGAGCGAUGCAAGUCUAUUUGACUGUAAAGGUCUUCUAUUCUCCUGUUGGUAAGAAAAUGAGCCCAAACGUACAUCCAAAUCAACACCGACAUGGUUAAAGGACACAAAAUCAGUGUUUUGCAAUGGAGAAAUGUUUAGCACCAGUCAACACGGGUAACACAAUGGUGCUGCUAUUAAAAAUAAUACGUAACCUAAAAAGAAAAUGAGCCAGUGUAAAUGCCAUAUCCAGUAUAAAUGCAGACAAUGAGGCCUUUUUGUGUAUUCAUAAUGCAAAGGAACAAUAAUAUCAUGGCACUGGCUUGAUGUAUUAUAUAUUAUUUUUGUGGUAGUUCUAGCGAAAAGAAAGGUAUUAUUGUAAAAAGGGCCUUUUGUCCAGACCGAACUGAAAACCAGAGAUGUGAAUUGAAGGUGUCCACAUGCACAAGAAUACAAAGGAGCUUUAAAAAGGGCAUUAAGGGAGAUCAUCUACUGUCUUAAACUUUGUUAAGUGAAGAAAUUGUUUUUUUUGUAGGUACGGUUAUGGGUUAUGGGUUAUGUUUGGGGGGGGAAAAUUCCAUUCAAAUGUAACUACACAGCAUUCACAUGUGACCUAAAACACCAUCACCUGUAUGUGUUACUCAUUUUAUGUAUCAUAAUUUCUGCUCGUUUUCAGAAUAAUUUUGGAGUUGAAUGUGUCUCAGCUGUUUGCAGUGUGAUUAAACACAUUGUGUUUUAUUUUAUUCACUUUUAGUCCCAGAGCUCUAAAAGCCUUUAUAGAUGAAAGAACCCAGCACAGCAAGAAAAUACAUUAAAAUGAACCCAAAUGCAAAUUUCAAACGAUUAUUUCAAGUUAGAGGUCACGUGUGAGAUGAAGUAUUUGGGCACUAGCUUCAGUCGUCCUGUUAGUUUAGAUACAGUUCAGGUACUUGGGAAUUCAUCUUCGUCUCAACGAUUGCAAGCUGGUCAGGCCCUGAUGCAGCAAAGCAAGCCCAAAUCAUGAUGUUUCCUCCACCAUACUUUACGGUUGGGAUGAUGUUUUCAUGAUGAUAUGCCAUGCCCUUUCUACACCAGAUGUAGUGCUGUGUGGUAUCUCCAAAUAGUUCAAUCUUAGUUUCAUCAGUCCACAAAACAUUUUACCAGUACCGCUGUGGAGUGUCAAUGUGCUCUUUUGCAAACUUCAGGCGUGCAGCAAUAUUUGUUUUAGUAAGCAGUGGCUUCCUUUGUGGUGUCCUGCCGUAGAUACCCUGCUUGUUCAGUUGUCUUACAUAUUGUACACUCAUGAACAGAGAUGUUAGCCAGUUCAAAUCUUUGGCUGUCAUUCGGGGUUGUUUCUUUACCUCAUUGACGAGUCUUCGUUGUGCUCUUGGUGUCAUUUUUACUGGGUGCCCACUUCUUGGUAGAGUAGCAACAGUCCCAAAGUGUCUCCAUUUGUAAAAUGUUUGCCUAACUGUAGACUGGUGAAUUUCUAAAGUCUUUGAAAUCACUUUGUAACCCUUGCCAGCUUUAUGUAAAUCAACAAUUCUUGAUCAUAGACCCUCUGAAAGCUCUUUUUGGAGAGGCAUGGCUCACAUAAGCGUGAGCUUCUUGUGCAGCGCAAACUCCAAAAGUUUGAGGGGUUUUUAUCAGUCAAAUCAGCUGUAGUCCACACCUCCAAACUCAUUUUCUUAACGAGACUCCAGGUGUGGAGUCUCGUUAACCCUUAACUCAAGGGUUCACAUACUUUUUUCCGCAAGCACUAUGAGGUUUUUUUGGUUGUUCUCAAUAAAGAAAUGUAAUAUCAGAA